rnacentral:rRNA from 1 species
GUGAACGCUGGCGAUAGGCCUAACACCUGCAAGUCGAACGGCAGCACAGUAAGAGCUUGCUCUUACGGGUGGCGAGUGGCGGACGGGUGAGGAAUACAUCGGAAUCUACUUUUUCGUGGGGGAUAACGUAGGGAAACUUACGCUAAUACCGCAUACGACCUACGGGUGAAAGCAGGGGAUCUUCGGACCUUGCGCGAUUGAAUGAGCCGAUGUCGGAUUAGCUAGUUGGCGGGGUAAAGGCCCACCAAGGCGACGAUCCGUAGCUGGUCUGAGAGGAUGAUCAGCCACACUGGAACUGAGACACGGUCCAGACUCCUACGGGAGGCAGCAGUGGGGAAUAUUGGACAAUGGGCGCAAGCCUGAUCCAGCCAUACCGCGUGGGUGAAGAAGGCCUUCGGGUUGUAAAGCCCUUUUGUUGGGAAAGAAAAGCAGCAGGUUAAUACCCCGCUGUUCUGACGGUACCCAAAGAAUAAGCACCGGCUAACUUCGUG